CAUCACAAAUAACAAAAAAAAUCAUUUUAUGUCAAUUUAUAAUUUUGCUAUCUCUCUUUUCGUUUUGUUCCUCAAAUCAAUUUUUUUCCUUUAAUAUUCAUCUUCUCAAUCCUCGGCGGAUCUGAUUCCGAUAUGUGUUUCUCUGUUACUUGAUUCGUUUACUCUGUUACUAUGUUCUUUGUUACUGUUACUUGCUUUGUCCCAUCGGUACGUUUAAUCUUCUUGCUGCUUUUACGAGCCCGUAAAACGUUACGAUUUCUUUGUUUCAUCAUCGCUUUUUUAUUAUUAAGCUUUUGUGAGAUUGUUUUUGCUGAUAUUUUGUUUUGAUUUGGUUUUUGACAUAUCAUUAACGACCGUGAGACGGGAAGGUCAAGGGGAUUCGGAUUCGUGACCUUCAAGGAUGAGAUGAACGGAAAGGAGCUCGACGGACGUACCAUUACCGUCAACGAGGCUCAGUCUAGAGGAAGCGGCGGUGGAGGUGGAUACGGUGGCCGUGGAGGUGGCGAUUUCUGGAUUAUGAUCUUUAUGGGUUUCAGCCCCCAAAAUCAAUGCGUGGACGGAUUCAGAUUUGUUAUCCUCAUGUAAUUUUAAAUUGUGGAUCACUGCAUCAACAUGGGUUUGCAAGGGACAAAAUAUGGGUAAUCGAUGACAAUCUACCUCCACGAGUUCUUAAAAUCAUCAUUAGUUGAUCUUCAUCUCAAACCAUCGGAAGAGGACUUAAAAGCAAUGGUCUGACAGAUGGCCACUCAACAUUGAUUUCUUUAGAAACAUCAAUGGCAAACUCUUCAGAUUCUUAUUUGCAUAUCAUACUUACCUCGCUGUCUCAGAUAUAAGGGUUAGAAACAUUUGAGCACUUGGAGAACCUCAGCAAAAAGGAGCUUUUAA